rnacentral:misc_RNA from 1 species
AACGCACAUUGCGCCCGCCAGUAUUCUGGCGGGCAUGCCUGUUCGAGCGUCAUUACAACCCUCAGGCCCCCGGGCCUGGCGUUGGGGAUCGGCGGAGCCCCCCGUGGGCACACGCCGUCCCCCAAAUACAGUGGCGGUCCCGCCGCAGCUUCCAUUGCGUAGUAGCUAACACCUCGCAACUGGAGAGCGGCGCGGCCACGCCGUAAAACACCCAACUUCUGAAUGUUGACCUCGAAUCAGGUAGGAAUACCCGCUGAACUUAA